rnacentral:misc_RNA from 1 species
GAAAUGCGAUAAGUAAUGUGAAUUGCAGAAUUUAGUGAAUCAUCGAAUCUUUGAACGCAUAUUGCGCCCGCCAGCACUCUGGCGGGCAUGCCUGUUCGAGCGUCAUUUCAACCCUCAGGCCUCGUGUCUGGCGUUGGGGCGCUGCGGCCCUCCCGCAGGCUCCCAAAUUUAGCGGCGGACCCGUCCGGCCCUGAGCGCAGUAGUUACCUAACUUUAACGCUCCGGCGGCCGUGGCGCGGUUUUGCCUCUCGCCACAUAGCGCCAAUAGCGCCACUCCCAAAAAGUUGACCUCGGAUCAGGUAGGACUACCCGCUGAACUUAA